CUUGAAAAAUAUUUGAAAAUUUUUUAUAUUAAAAAUGUCGGGCAACCGACUGUGAUACCAGAGGCACUGCGCAAUAGAAAUUUCGGACCCGGGGGCAGUACCCGGCACCUCCACCAAAAUUUUUCAAGGGGGUGAAACAGGAUUGACGGGAUUUAGUAAAGGCAGAUGUUGUAUUCGGUGAGAUACCACCGUUAUCGGUUCAAAAACAAAUAAAUGCUAACGAUAAUGAAUUAGCACCUGUUGCUUUGGCUGCUUAAUUGCAGUUGCAACGAACAUAAAUCCUCAGCAUCUUGGUUGACGCUGAGUGGGGAGUGAGCCACCCAGCAACAGAACGGCU
rnacentral:tmRNA from 1 species